CCGAAGUUCUGAAAUUUAUGCAAGGAGAUCCACUCCCAUAGCUCUAAAUGGAAAACUUGAAUUUUGCUUUCAAUCAGCUACUGAUUUCCAGAUUAAGCAGUGAAUGUGCCCACUCAUCAUUGGUGCUGGCAUCAAUUUUCUACUUGUGGAGACAUCUGGAAAAGGAAAAUCAGAUGCAGAAAACCUGGACCAGGGCUCCCCUGAACACUUUCAGAGAUCUACUGAGGGACCUGAAACACCACCACCUGGAGCCCCUCCUAAUGGUGAAAACCUAGAAGGUGAAUCUCAGCUAGGUCCAGCCUCACAAGAUGGUGAACCUCAGCAAGGACCACCCCCAAAAGGUGAUGGACCUCGGCAGAAACCACGUCCAAAAGGUGAUGGACCUCAGCAGAGACCACAUCCACAAGGUGAUGGAUCUCAGCAGAGACCACCUCCACGAGAUGGUGAACCUCCGCAGAGACCACCCCCACCAAAGCAACGUUGUCAUCACCAUCCUCCCCCACUUUCUCCUGAAAGACAUCACAGACCACCACCCCCAAGACGUGGACCACAAAGAUCUCCCCAAGGCCCACCAACCCAGUAAUCUGGAAUUCAAUGACAGAAAAUAUGAAGAUAUGUGUCCUUCAGAAAGCCAUGGAAGAAGGCAGUCUAUCUUCCCUUUAUCAAUAAAACAAUCAGCAUCUAAUUUCUAAGGGUCA
rnacentral:lncRNA from 1 species